rnacentral:lncRNA from 1 species
GAUAUAAAACAAACACUCCCAAACUCUCAGCUAUAAGAGUAUCAGCUUAUGCCUAGUCCAUAUUUCAUAUGGAGUCUUUGCAACUAAUUAAUUCAAAAUCCAGUUGAGAACAUGACAAGUAGUUUCAAAAGUAUAACCUUAAAAGGAGACUGACAGACUUAUAAACCUCAUCAAAGAUCGAACUAUAUCUAACAAAGUUAAUUCCAAUAAGAGAGAAUCCUAUUCUCUUCUAGAUAUAUCAAAAACUCACUAAAAAAGCAUCUCCUCCUUGGUCUGACCGAAG